rnacentral:lncRNA from 1 species
GAACGGCAGGCAGCCUCGGGAGCUCAACCGGGAAUAAUCCUCGGGAAUUCAGCCGGGAAUCAGCGCUGGGGCCGCUCCGGCCGCUCCAGCCCGGGCGCCGCCGCCGCCCAAGCGAGCGCCCAGCACGACGCUCACGCUGCGCUCCAAGUCCAUGACGGCCGAGCUGGAGGAGCUGGAGAAGCUGGACGAGAUCCUGGCGGCCACCGAGCCGGCGCUGAGGGCGGAGCUGGUGGAGGCCGAUUCCAGGGCGGCCACGGUGAAACAGCGCCCGACCAGC